rnacentral:lncRNA from 1 species
GAAAAUAUCAGUGGAAGAGAAGGUUCUCGAGAAACUUCAUCUUCAUCUACCAAAAUUUUAUCUCCAUAGCUGGAUCUGUCAAGGCUUGCUCGUAGAAAGCUCUAAUAUUGAGUACCACAAUGGAUCUAUCAUGGAUGUACUCCUCUAUAUCUGAAUCAUGAGCUUCCAAUUGUUUUUUUCCAUCAAUUGCAAUCGUUGAAGUAGCAACAACUGAAAUAGGGGUGUCUUUCUUCCGUAUUCGAGCUAUGUGGUUCUUGUCCCUUCUUGCUUUAUUGUAUCUUUCCAUUUUCCUAAAGUAAAUGGGUUUAAUUUCCAAUGAAGUUGAUACCACCAUCAGAUCCUAAUAUUCAAGAAAGAAAACACCAAAAAUUUGGAAUAUAACUUUUUAAUCUUGGUACAGAUUUCUACAAGAGAUAACAAGAAGCGAAGAAGACUUAGAACAUCUCAUCGAUCAGUGCCUUAUAUUCUAUCUAAGAAACACCUCAAGUUCUCAUCGGGUUAGGAUACAAAAAUUAGCUAAAAUUUUUUUAGAUAAAGGUAUGAUAACAAAUAGUUAUAGUUUAAUUUUAAUCCUUUAGCUCUUUUUCCUAUUAAAAUCAAAAUUGUACCAGUUUAACUCUAUAAUAGGUUGUAUAAAUCUGAAAAAUCAGUCAUGUGCACUUUUUCUUAGAAAUGGAAUGCCUAAUUUGUCUACUAUUGAUUUUUUAUGCCUUCACUUGGAACCUCCUGCAAUUGAUUCAACUGAUAAUUAACUGCAAAAUCAAAAACUAAGUUGGCAAAAAGUUUAGCAAGAGUAUUUCCUUUUUAGAGGAAAUGUUGAACUCUUACUUAUAGAAAUGCGCUUAGCCUAUUAAUGGAGUUGACUUCCAAUAUCACACUCCAUGGGAUCUACCACCUUUCUUCUAAAAUAUGCAUCAUUGAUAUAGAAUCUCAUUUCAAUUAUGACGUGAUGAAUCAAAUGAUAUUUAUAGUAAACCAAACAUUCCCUAAUAGAUCUAACUUUUACCACCAUAUUAAAAGUAUCAAGAAUUGUAAUGCCUUUAGCAACCAAAAAGUUCAUUCAGAGUCUCUUAUGCAAAAAAAUGCAAAAAUAGGGUCUUGAUUGCCUCUUGAAGCACAUCAAUGUUACCUUUCAACCAAUUGACAGGGGGAGGAUGUUAUCUCAUAGUCCUUGGGGGUUGUUUAAUUGGGAACAAGUUAUCCUGAGAUAAUUAAUUUUGGGGUUAGUUAUCCCACCAUAUAUAUGGAAUAACUUAUCCCAUCACUAAGGCUUAAAUGAUGGGAUAAAUAAUUACCAGACUAACUAAUUCCUCCAACCAAACAAAGACAAAAUAAUCCUACAUUUUAUAUUGGGACUAUUAUAAGUUAUACAUUACACCAAUCGACCUCGUGUAUUAUAUAAGAUUUUGUAACCUUCUAAUGAAGCUAUUAUGCCAGGCUAGCUCCUGUUAUCGCAAAAAGAAAUCAAAUAUAAACUUCAAUAACUUCUUAAUGACACCAUUAAUCUCCUAUAUGAUCUUCCUAACUGAAUAAGUUCCUUCACGAAGGAUAUUUUUCUUUCUCCACCACAUAAAGCUUAAGAUAAUAAUAUGAACUAUUUGAUAUAUAAUUUUAAUUUUAGAAUUUCCUUUUGCUUCUCUCCAUUUACUCAUACUCUACUUUAGAUAGUCCACAUAUCUUAAUAGCCGCUUCUCUCUUUAAAAAUAGACACUCUAUAUGUUUUUUUCACGUAUAGAAUAAAAACUAUAGUUUUGUGAAAUAUUAGGGUUGCAUGAGUGCAUUAAAGAGGCCACAAGAAUUUACCUAGGGAAGAGAAUUUAAAAGAAAUCCCUUUACACCAUAGAAGCUUAAGAUCCUCAUUAACUUCUGCAUUUGCCUUGGUAGCUCCCAAGCACCUUUAGUAGUGAACUUACCUAUAAUUGUAUUGGUCAACCAAAGGCCUAUCCUUUUUAUUCACAUACUUUAUAUGAAUCAUAUUGAUCCUAAUAUGUUCUAUGACAUAUUUAGGUACAACAUCCUGCAUAGCCUCAAAGUUUCAUCACUCAUCAUUCAAAAAUUCUCCUAUAUCUUUCAAAGGAUGUCAAGAUUGCAUCACUAAUUGGUGCAUAAAUGGAGAACCAUUAUUUGUCUAGCUGUCAUACCUAUUUUAGAAGUUCCUUCCUUAGAUUCCCACAAGAAAUAUUUCUCAAUUUAAAUUCUAUUCUUUUGUAUUUAUUUCCA